CAGAUGGAUUCUGGCUCUCUCAUAAGAUGAAAAAGCUCUUUCACAGUUGAGGUCUUAUUAAGUUAAAAAUAUAUACCUUUUUACUAGGCUGUAACCAGUUAAUGUGACUCAGACAAAGAUGUAAUGUGAAGAGAGGCAUUACUUAGAGCUACCAUUUUUGCCUUACUGCAGAGGUUCCUCUUUUCCAGGCCUCACACGCGAGUUCCUAGAAGCCACAGCUGAAGCACAUUUAAGAAUUAGUCUAUGAGCUCAUUUGAUGAAGUUAAGGGGGAUCAGCUGGGGUUUGGGCUGAUUGGCUUCAGCAGUGCAGCACACAGAGGUUUGAACCACUUCUUUCUGAGCAGUUCUGGGCUGUGGCUCCUUCCCUAGGACUUGCCAGCACCAUCUCUUCAGCAAAGCAGGGAGCUCUGUGGAGGCCUGGUCUGAAGCACUGGUGUGGCAGAUGUAGCGUACCAACGCUUCCUAUUCCUGAGUCCCCUGCAAACUUGUUCACAUCUCCCAUGAGGGGCUAGUGAGGUGGCUUUGCAGCUGUAAACAUUGCAGUCCACAUGAAGAGAAAUCUAUUUGAAAGUGGCUGAAUAAAGUCAAGAAGUGGCAGCAAGUGUGCAAGGGAUGGAAAAGGGAGAACACUGGCCUGGAUAUAGAUGUUGAAGGAUGGUACAAGAGUUUUUUUUACUGCUGUGUGAUUUUGAUGUAGCUGUGGGUCAUGGCAUGCACAGUUAGUUAGGGUUCAUAAUGAGGGAUGUUAAGUACCAACAAAUAUGUAGGAGUCCUCUGUGAGGAAGCAUAUGCUGAGGCCUGAGGAUGUUCCUUAGAAAACCAUAAUGUCCCUACCUCAGGGAGAAGCAAAAUGAUGGGACCAGCUCCAGAAUGGUGGAAAUGGAGAGCUGGGAGUCUGUCACAGCCCUCCCCUGGGGGCCACAAGACCAGGAGUGUUCCCACGGGGUUGUGGAUCUUUCCUGGGAGGGAUGAAGAAAGACAAUAGUUUUUGAGCUGUCUGGAGCUUGAAAUCAGAUAGAUUUCUGCCUGGUUGGAACAGCCUGGGCAGAGGAAAGGGUUAAAAGGAGGACAGUGUGGACAAAACUGCAAAUAACCUAUAUCCUUUAAAUCCUUGUCAUGAAAAGUUUGGUACCCUUGCAUAGUUUAACAGUGAGCUCUACUUUGAUGUUUGAAAGUGCUAAUCUCCCUUUGGAAGUGCACAUCAGGCACUGUCAGACCUUCUCCCAGACACUUUUUAGAGGGAAACCAGCUCUUAUGACACUGGAACCGGCUGGUGAAAGGGAAGUAACGUUUAUUUCAAAGAACUGCAGCAUGUUGGCCACCUCAAAUUCUCACAGAUUUGACACCUUUUUAGGCAGAUUUAGCCCAAAGUAACUCAACCUGCUUUUCUAGUGACUGUUUGCAGCCCCAAGACGUAUUCUUCCACUUUGCCUUUCUGAAAAUUAGGCAAUCCAUUGAAUCCUUGGUGGCCAUGAAGACUUUUUUUCUUCUGUAUGACCUCCUUUACCAUGAAAAAUCACAAGACAAUUGUAAUUUGAGCUACAGGAAUAAAUUCAGAAUAGCUCUUUUGAAGUCAGCAAGCUACCUAAAUAUUGUCAAAAUGAGAAGGACCAAAAGAGGCUACCUCCAUCUUUUUAACCUUUUUUUCAUUGAUGAGACAUCUUGUUAAUUUGAGACCACUUUGGCCAACCCAAGUGCCAAAGGGUCAUGCAGUUCUUGGUAGCUUGACUGCAGGGGCACUUCAUGGGGAAUUAUGAGGAAAACCAUGUUUUUUCCCUUUUUUUGGACACCAGUGGCCAACACAACAAUGAGCAGACAUAGCAAGGAAUCUGUAUUUGGUCAAAGUUUUGGUGGUUCCCUUGCUGCAGGGGGAGUUGGCUGGGGAUCCACCAUCCCAACCACUGCUGCAAGCAACAAACCCAUCAGCACAGAGGUUCUCACGGCAAAGGAUGGAGCCAGGACGCUGUGCACCAUAAGCCUGGUGUCUAUGGGUGCGUGUGACAUGCUCAGUGUGCUCACAAUGCUUUAGCAAUGUCAUGAAACAAUUGGAAUCUGCUGACCUGAUGUGUCAGUGAUGUAAAAUCCAUGUUGCUAAAUGCUGCCUAAUAGCUGGGGUAAUAAAACCCGAAGCUCAGAUCACACGGGGAGUUCCCUGCUGUCUGGCGUCUCUUGAAGCCGGCAGUGCUUGGGAGUGGGCAAACCCAGGAGCUGGGCUGGCAUUUGGUUUCCUCUUAGAGCUGGUUGUUUCCUGCUGCUGCUUGAGCAGCAGACCUCUGACCAAUGUCUGCAGCUGUGUCCAUGUGCUUGGAGUCACGGUGGCCAGCCCAGACUUCUUUCUUCCGCUCCCUUAAAUCUGUGACUUUUCCUUGGCUGGGGGUUCCUGGGCUGUGAGACUCCACACACUUCUGUAAGGACAAAGAGCUGCUUCUGCAGUCACAUCUGGUCUCCAAAACCAGGGCUCCUUCGCAGUAACUCCUGCAUUGUUUCCCUGUCAGCUGUCAGGGACAGAGCUGGGAACAAUGGGUGCAAUGGAGCCGCAUUUCAGGAAAACAUAGAUCCUAUUUAUGUGGGCAAAACAUGCAGGGUUUCUUGCUGAAAACCUUAAAUGGUUGAAGAAGCUGCAACCUGAAUUCGAGUUACUUUAAGAGACUGUGGCAAUUUAAAAGGGAUUUCAAUCAA